UAACAGUAACAACAAAGUUGAAACUGUCCCAGGACUUAAAGGCUCCUAUGUUUUAGUCCUCUGCACUACACGGAGAGGGUAUGUACCUCGAUGGUGUCAGCUUAUAAACAACACGAGAUACGGGAAGGGAGUUAAUUAUUACACUUUGCACCUUACGACUAAUAUGAAACUUCACACAGAAAUGAGCAGAAUCCUUAUAACCACGCCUCGUGGUGUGUUCAGGUGGCUGGGAAUA